rnacentral:rRNA from 1 species
GAUGAACGCUGGCGGCGUGCCUAAUACAUGCAAGUCGAGCGAACGGACGAGAAGCUUGCUUCUCUGAUGUUAGCGGCGGACGGGUGAGUAACACGUGGAUAACCUACCUAUAAGACUGGGAUAACUUCGGGAAACCGGAGCUAAUACCGGAUAAUAUUUUGAACCGCAUGGUUCAAAAGUGAAAGACGGUCUUGCUGUCACUUAUAGAUGGAUCCGCGCUGCAUUAGCUAGUUGGUAAGGUAACGGCUUACCAAGGCAACGAUGCAUAGCCGACCUGAGAGGGUGAUCGGCCACACUGGAACUGAGGCACGGUCCAGACUCCUACGGGAGGCAGCAGUAGGGAAUCUUCCGCAAUGGGCGGAAGCCUGACGGAGCAACGCCGCGUGAGUGAUGAAGGUCUUCGGAUCGUAAAACUCUGUUAUUAGGGAAGAACAUAUGUGUAAGUAACUGUGCACAUCUUGACGGUACCUAAUCAGAAAGCCACGGCUAACUACGUG